CUUAUGCUUCGUUUCAGUUGCUUGGUGAGCGAGACUAAGGCUGAGAACUCUAGUUGUGGUUUGUUUGAAAAAAAAUAGUCUCCAAUUGAAGAUCUGUUGGUGACUCGAGCCUGUUUUGAUGAUAUUACGAUAGUUUGGAUGUGAAUCGUUGUUUCAUAGUUGCAUCUAGAUCCUUUCGCUGAGGUGCCUAUCACAUGUUCGAUAAUAUGCCUGAACGACAUCGUAUGCACAUUUGAGAGGCAUCCUCCUGAAUCCGAAUAUCUUAUUGUCUAUCACUUGUCCACAUUGUUAAUAGGUGUGUUCGAUUCACUUUUUUUUCUUUUUUUUUCAUUUCUGAUUCCUGUAUUUGCCACGCUUGCUUCAUUUUUGUUUGAUCACAUGUAUUCAUUUUGUCUUAGACUCUGGUCCGUUAUCCUUUCUGCUGUGUAUUGAUUGAUGCAUGUCAACUGAUGUACAAAGCCUGUAAAUCUCUGCCAUGAAUAAGUGUUGCUUAAUCGAAUAAGUUAUUGAAGCAUAUUCACGGAAUCGAGACCCGUAUUUGCUGGGGGGAGCGGAGUUUUUCGGAGUUCUUAAGUAGAUGUAAAAAUGUUUGUAUGUCAAUUCUCCAAAUUAAAGUCAGUGCACCGGAAGAGAAGUUCUUGUUACCAUGAUGUCAAUGUGUGUUUGUUGUUCUUGUGUUCUUUGAGCAAUCACUGAGAGAGUGACGAUUAGUUAGAGAUUCAGCAAAUUUUGUUUGUGUGCUUGAAGCAGAAUAUAAUGGCUGUACAUGUGAUGUAGGAUUGAAUGGAAAGUUGCUGGGAUAGUUGCUGAUGGAAGCACGUCACCUGCAUGUGUGUGGUCUGUGUGUAGAGAAUUGAGCAUAGUAAUUGCUAUUGAUCUUGUAGUAUCCAAUCUGUGAAGAAGUGCCAGUGUCCCAAAUUUGUCUUUAUUGAUCUUCUUUGUGUGAUGUUCUCUUCCUCAUUGUUUCCUGAUGUGCGCACAAGAGGUGGGAAAGUUUCUGGACAUGUCUUGGGUUAGAUUUCAAUCCUUUUAUGAUGGCUUUUCUGCUACUCUAGUUUUCAUUUCUUUUCUCACACCUGGAAUACUUUAAUUCUGUGCACGGGAUGACCGACGAGCAAGGAUUUUAAUUCCAUGAUGAUUGGAGGUGGUUGGCAAUGGAGCACACGCUUGGUGUUCUAUGAACGAGAUGCGUGCGUGCAUUAUUCUCUAAUGAGAUUAUAGAUAAGAAAGCGGGACUGGAAUGGACAGGGUCCAAUUUUGAAAGCCAUAAUCAAUUCAAAACUAUCAGUUUAUCGAGCCAUCGCAAGAUUAACGAUGGAGAGCUUGUCAUCUCUUCAUUUGGAUGGCAAAGCUGUAAAGAAGUAUCGGCUUGAGCCUCUUGUAUUAUUCACUGACGCAGCUGAGGCAUGUUUACAAUCUGUCUGGAGAAAAUUGAGGAUGCGGGAAGAUCUAUUCAGUGCUUUGCUUACUGGGAUGACUCAAAUUGCUGUCACUAAGGGUGGACAGCAGCUACGAGUUUUGCUCAUUCGCAUCAAGCUCCUUGUACUGACUGCAUGUGCUCAAGGGCGUUUAAGAAAGGAAUUAUGCCUGUGAGCAUCAUUUAUUCACAAUAACUUUGAUGGAUGUGUUCAUCCAUAAAAUACUUUUCCAGGAUUACAAUUUGCAGCAGGCUGAUGCAUGGGCCAGUAGCCAUGGAGCCCAUGGUUGAGAGUGUAAUGAAGGCAAGCUGUGAAGUGAUUGAAUAUGGCUGGAGUAAGGACUGGGCUCCUAUAGACACUUUUAUCAUGGAAAAUACAUUGUGAUAGCUUUGGCUGUUGUACAUGCUUCUUGUACAUAGUCGAUAUAUGCCUGAUAAUACUUGUAUGUAAGAUAUGAGCAUGUUCUCCUUGAAAUAUUAGGGUGUCAUAGGUUGGAGUCCACUUAAGGUUUACUGUGACCUAUUCAUCUGCUUUGUGACUAUAUAAUUUGAUAAUGUUCUAGGAGUGCCUAAGUUCUCAAUGUAGAGAUCUUAACUGGAAAUGUCAAUUACCGGUCCUUCUAA